UUUGAUCAUGGCUCAAGACGAACGCUGGCGGCGUGCUUAACACAUGCAAGUCGAACGGUAAGGCGCUUUCGGGCGUACACGAGUGGCGAACGGGUGAGUAACACGUGAGGAACGUGCCCUUGACUUUGGUAUAGCACUUGGAAACAGGUGGUAAUCCCGAAUAUUCAGUUUCCCGGGCAUCCGGGUUGUUGGAAAGCUUUUUGCGGUCAGGGAUCGUCUCGCGGCCUAUCAGCUUGUUGGUGGGGUAGUGGCCCACCAAGGCCUUGACGGGUAGCCGGCCUGAGAGGGUGACCGGCCACAUUGGGACUGAGAUACGGCCCAGACUCCUACGGGAGGCAGCAGUGGGGAAUAUUGCACAAUGGGCGGAAGCCUGAUGCGGCAACGCCGCGUGCGGGAUGACGGCCUUCGGGUUGUAAACCGCUUUCACCCAUGACGAAGCGCGAGUGACGGUAGUGGGGGAAGAAGCACCGGCCAACUACGUGCCAGCAGCCGCGGUGAUACGUAGGGUGCGAGCGUUGUCCGGAAUUAUUGGGCGUAAAGAGCUUGUAGGCGGUUGAUCGCGUCGAUAGUGAAAUCCCGGGGCUCAACCUCGGGCUUGCUGUCGAUACGGGUUGACUUGAGGAAGGUAGGGGAGAAUGGAACUCCCGGUGGAGCGGUGGAAUGCGCAGAUAUCGGGAAGAACACCGGUGGCGAAGGCGGUUCUCUGGACCUUUCCUGACGCUGAGAAGCGAAAGCGUGGGGAGCAAACAGGCUUAGAUACCCUGGUAGUCCACGCUGUAAACGGUGGGUACUAGGUGUGGGUCGCAUUCCACGUGAUCCGUGCCGUAGCCAACGCAUUAAGUACCCCGCCUGGGGAGUACGGCCGCAAGGCUAAAACUCAAAGGAAUUGACGGGGCCCCGCACAAGCGGCGGAGCAUGCGGAUUAAUUCGAUGCAAGGCGAAGAACCUUACCUGGGUUUGACAUGUACUGGAAGCGCUCAGAGAUGGGCGUGCCUUUUCGGCCGGUUCACAGGUGGUGUAUGGCUGUCGUCAGCUCGUGUCGUGAGAUGUUGGGUUAAGUCCCGCAACGAGCGCAACCCUCGUCCAAUGUUGCCAGCAGUUCGGCUGGGGACUCGUUGGAGACCGCCGGGGUCAACUCGGGGGAAGGUGGGGAUGAGGUCAAAGUCAUCAUGCCCCUCAUGUCCAGGGCUUCACGCAUGCUACAAAUGGCCGGUACAAAAGAGUUGCGAGCCUGUGAGGGUGAGGAAUUCUCGGAAAGCCGGUCUCAAGUUCGGAUUGGGGUCUGCAAACUCGACCCCAGAAAGUUGGAGGUCGCUAGUAAUCGGCAGAUUCAGGCAAACGCUGCGGUAAUUACGUUCCCGGG
rnacentral:rRNA from 1 species